AGUGAACGCUGGCGGUAGGCCUAACACAUGCAAGUCGAACGGCAGCACAGUAAGAGCUUGCUCUUACGGGUGGCGAGUGGCGGACGGGUGAGGAAUACAUCGGAAUCUACUUUUUCGUGGGGGAUAACGUAGGGAAACUUACGCUAAUACCGCAUACGACCUACGGGUGAAAGCAGGGGAUCUUCGGACCUUGCGCGAUUGAAUGAGCCGAUGUCGGAUUAGCUAGUUGGCGGGGUAAAGGCCCACCAAGGCGACGAUCCGUAGCUGGUCUGAGAGGAUGAUCAGCCACACUGGAACUGAGACACGGUCCAGACUCCUACGGGAGGCAGCAGUGGGGAAUAUUGGACAAUGGGCGCAAGCCUGAUCCAGCCAUACCGCGUGGGUGAAGAAGGCCUUCGGGUUGUAAAACCCUUUUGUUGGGAAAGAAAAGCAGCAGGUUAAUACCCCGCUGUUCUGACGGUACCCAAAGAAUAAGCACCGGCUAACUUCGUG
rnacentral:rRNA from 1 species